rnacentral:rRNA from 1 species
GACGAACGCUGGCGGCGUGCUUAACACAUGCAAGUCGAACGAGAAGAGAUGCGAAGCUUGCUUCUUAUUGAUUCGAGUGGCAAACGGGUGAGUAACGCGUAAGCAACCUGCCCCUUUCAGAUGGGGGACAACAGCUGGAAACGGCUGCUAAUACCGAAUACGUUCUUUUUGUCGCAUGGCAGAGGGAAGAAAGGGAGGCUCUUCGGAGCUUUCGCUGAAGGAGGGGCUUGCGUCUGAUUAGCUAGUUGGAGGGGUAACGGCCCACCAAGGCGACGAUCAGUAGCCGGUCUGAGAGGAUGAACGG